rnacentral:rRNA from 1 species
GAUGAACGCUGGCGGCGUGCCUAAUACAUGCAAGUCGAGCGAACGGACGAGAAGCUUGCUUCUCUGAUGUUAGCGGCGGACGGGUGAGUAACACGUGGAUAACCUACCUAUAAGACUGGGAUAACUUCGGGAAACCGGAGCUAAUACCGGAUAAUAUUUUGAACCGCAUGGUUCAAAAGUGAAAGACGGUCUUGCUGUCACUUAUAGAUGGAUCCGCGCUGCAUUAGCUAGUUGGUAAGGUAACGGCUUACCAAGGCAACGAUGCAUAGCCGACCUGAGAGGGUGAUCGGCCACACUGGAACUGAGACACGGUCCAGACUCCUACGGGAGGCAGCAGUAGGGAAUCUUCCGCAAUGGGCGAAAGCCUGACGGAGCAACGCCGCGUGAGUGAUGAAGGUCUUCGGAUCGUAAAACUCUGUUAUUAGGGAAGAACAUAUGUGUAAGUAACUGUGCACAUCUUGACGGUACCUAAUCAGAAAGCCACGGCUAACUACGUGCCAGCAGCCGCGGUAAUACGUAGGUGGCAAGCGUUAUCCGGAAUUAUUGGGCGUAAAGCGCGCGUAGGCGGUUUUUUAAGUCUGAUGUGAAAGCCCACGGCUCAACCGUGGAGGGUCAUUGGAAACUGGAAAACUUGAGUGCAGAAGAGGAAAGUGGAAUUCCAUGUGUAGCGGUGAAAUGCGCAGAGAUAUGGAGGAACACCAGUGGCGAAGGCGACUUUCUGGUCUGUAACUGACGCUGAUGUGCGAAAGCGUGGGGAUCAAACAGGAUUAGAUACCCUGGUAGUCCACGCCGUAAACGAUGAGUGCUAAGUGUUAGGGGGUUUCCGCCCCUUAGUGCUGCAGCUAACGCAUUAAGCACUCCGCCUGGGGAGUACGACCGCAAGGUUGAAACUCAAAGGAAUUGACGGGGACCCGCACAAGCGGUGGAGCAUGUGGUUUAAUUCGAAGCAACGCGAAGAACCUUACCAAAUCUUGACAUCCUUUGACAACUCUAGAGACAGAGCUUUCCCCUUCGGGGGACAAAGUGACAGGUGGUGCAUGGUUGUCGUCAGCUCGUGUCGUGAGAUGUUGGGUUAAGUCCCGCAACGAGCGCAACCCUUAAGCUUAGUUGCCAUCAUUAAGUUGGGCACUCUAAGUUGACUGCCGGUGACAAACCGGAGGAAGGUGGGGAUGACGCCAAAUCAUCAUGCCCCUUAUGAUUUGGGCUACACACGUGCUACAAUGGACAAUACAAAGGGCAGCGAAACCGCGAGGUCAAGCAAAUCCCAUAAAGUUGUUCUCAGUUCGGAUUGUAGUCUGCAACUCGACUACAUGAAGCUGGAAUCGCUAGUAAUCGUAGAUCAGCAUGCUACGGUGAAUACGUUCCCGGGUCU